UACGGGGGGGGCUAGCGUUGUUCGGAAUUACUGGGCGUAAAGGGCGCGUAGGCGGCCUGCUAAGUCGGAUGUGAAAUCCCUCGGCUCAACCGGGGAACUGCAUCCGAUACUGGUCGGCUUGAAUCCGGGAGAGGGAUGUGGAAUUCCAGGUGUAGCGGUGAAAUGCGUAGAUAUCUGGAGGAACACCGGUGGCGAAGGCGGCAUCCUGGACCGACAUUGACGCUGAUGAGCGAAAGCUAAGGGAGCAAACGGG
rnacentral:rRNA from 1 species